AAACUCUGAACUCGGCUUAGACGACCCAACUUCUUACACGACUGGACAGUGUUGAAACAACAGGGUCUUCCUUCGAACAAACUUGGGCUCAUCUGUUUUAGCCAUCAAUCAAAGAUAGUAACCUGCACAACGGCAAGACAUACAUGCCCCUGGGGAUCGUAUGGACAAGAUAUACUCAAGUGUACUCAACAUUCAAAAUGAUUUUCAGAUGUUUUAUCUUUCCGCACAUCAUUGUCUAGCCUUCACAUUUUUAGAUGCAAUGUUUAUCAAAAAUUCGGACGUUUUUGCAAACAAAACAGUAAAAAAA
rnacentral:lncRNA from 1 species